rnacentral:rRNA from 1 species
UACGGAGGGUGCAAGCGUUAUCCGGAUUCACUGGGCGUAAAGGGUGCGUAGGCGGGCGGAUAAGUCAGUGGUGAAAUCCCCGAGCUUAACUUGGGAACUGCCAUUGAUACUAUUUGUCUUGAAUGUCGUGGAGGUUAGCGGAAUAUGUCAUGUAGCGGUGAAAUGCUUAGAUAUGACAUAGAACACCUAUUGCGAAGGCAGCUAACUACGCGAAUAUUGACGCUGAGGCGCGAAAGCGUGGGGAGCAAACAGG